rnacentral:rRNA from 1 species
UACCUGGUUUGUCCUGCCAGUAGUCAUAUGCUUGUCUCAAAGAUUAAGCCAUGCAUGUCUAAGUACAAACCUUCCUUAGGGUGAAACCGCAAACGGCUCAUUAAAUCAGUCAUAAUUCAUUGGUUGCAGGCUAUCCUUACUCGGAUAACUGUGGCAAUUCUAGAGCUAAUACGUGCACUUGAGCUCCGACGCCGGGAGGGUUUUUUUUAUAACCUUCUCGGGGGAAGGGCGCAGUUAUUAGAAUCAUAAACCGAGACGGGCUCUCGAGUCCGAAUCUACUUGGCUAUGAUGACUCUGGAUAACGUUGCCAAGCGCUUAGGCCUCAGAGCCGGCGCUGCAUCUUUCGAGUGACUGCCCUAUCAGCUUUCGAUUGUAGGAUAUAGGCCUACGAUGGCUGUUACGGGUAACGGGGAAUCAGGGUUCGAUUCCGGAGAGGGAGCCUGAGAAACGGCUACCACAUCUAAGGAAGGCAGCAGGCACGCAAAUUACCCAAUCCCAGUUCGGGGAGGUAGUGACGAUAAAUACCGAUGCGGGACUCAUCCGAGGCCUCGCAAUCGGAAUGAGUUCACUUUAAAAAAGUGGGCGAGGAUCAAUUGGAGGGCAAGUCUGGUGCCAGCAGCCGCGGUAAUUCCAGCUCCAAUAGCGUAUAUUAAAGUUGCUGCGGUUAAAAAGCUCGUAGUUGGACUUUAAGAUACGUGCCGGCGGCCCAUCCAAGGCGCGCCCUGGCCGUCUCGCUCGCGGGGUAUGGGUUCGCGUGGUGGGAGGCGCUUUAGCCGAUCACGGUUUACGCCGUGCCGGCGACUGCGACUUCCCCCCACCUACGCGCUCCCGCCUCCCUUCGUCCGGAGAUUCCCGCUAAAAACCUCCGCACCUCGCCUUCUAUGCGAGAGAAGAGCGCUGAGAUCUCCCCGAACAAAACCUAAUCCUCUCUAUUUACCUUCGUAUCGACCUCUGAAAGGAAAAGAGCGUUCGCGCAGUGUAGCUUUUUCUCCCUUUGAUUACGAAACUUCUUCCGUCCGAUAGCGGGUCACCGGCGGUUAUCUUCCGCCGCCCCCAUUCGGUAACGCGAAAAAAGUCUUCUUCCGUCAUCGGGGUUAAUGAAAUCGCUAAAAAAAAACUGCCGUUCGUUCGUUCACGUCGUACGGGGGGAGGGAGGAGCGGGUCGGGGAUGAGCUCCCUUUUCUCCUCCUUACGUCGGCUUACGGUGUCGGAGGGGGUUUUGACGGCGAACGGGUUUUGGUUUCCCGCCCCCGCUCUCGAAAGAAAGCGGGUGCGAGCGGCUAGUAAGCGCGCCCGGUGGUUCACUGGCCGGUCACGAAAUUUUAAAAGCCGUCGGCUCUCACGGGGUGCUCUUUACCGAGUGUCCCGCGUGGCCGGCACGUUCACUUUGACAAAAUUAGAGUGCUCAAAGCAGGCAAMARMUUUAUACGCCYGAAUAGUAUAUGCAUUGAAUGAUGGAACAGGACCUCGGUUCUGACUUUAUAAUUUUUUUUCUCGGUUUUUCCCGAACCCGAGGUAAUGAUUAAAGGGAACGGUCGGGGGCAUUAGUAUUGCGACGCGAGGGGUGAAAUCCAGUGACCGUCGCAAGACUACCUACUGCGAAAGCAUUUGCCAAGAACGUUUCCAUUAAUCAAGAACGAAAGUUAGAGGAUCGAAGGCGAUCAGAUACCGCCCUAGUUCUAACCAUAAACGAUGCCAACUAACGAUCCGCGUACAGUCAUUCCCAAGACUGCGCGGGAAGUUCCCGGGAAACCAAAGUCUUUGGGUUCCGGGGGUAGUAUGGUUGCAAAGCUGAAACUUAAAGGAAUUGACGGAAGGGCACCACCAGGAGUGGAGCCUGCGGCUUAAUUUGACUCAACACGGGAAACCUCACCAGGCCCGGACACCGGAAGGAUUGACAGAUUGAGAGCUCUUUCUCGAUUCGGUGGUUGGUGGUGCAUGGCCGUUCUUAGUUGGUGGAGCGAUUUGUCUGGUUAAUUCCGAUAACGAACAAGACUCUGUCCUACUAACUAGUCGGAGGAUCGUUUCCCGAGACGGGUUUCCCCCCCUCCGCGCGCGUGGUCGGCUGCGGCGCUCGGUUUUUCGUAUUCGGUUCGUCCCGCGUCGGGGGCGCGCUCGGCGAAGGUUUUUCUUUCGUUCGGGUACGUCUUCGGCGCGUUAAGGGGCGGAUCGGGUCGGGCCGGGUUAGUCGUUUUCGCGCCACCGCGUAAAAGGGGGUCCCAACGAGGGGCGUCCGCCGUAUAAAAUCUUCUUAGAGGGACCGGCGGUCUCGAACCGUACGAGAAGGAGCAAUAACAGGUCUGUGAUGCCCUUAGAUGUCCUGGGCCGCACGCGUGCUACAAUGGAGGGAGCAGCGUGCUUUCCCCCUCCGAGAGGAGUGGGUAACCCCAUGAAACCCCUUCCCGAUUGGGAUUGGGGGUUGCAAUGGUUGCCCAUGAACGAGGAAUCCCUUGUAAGCGCGAGUCAUAAGCUCGCGAUGAAUACGUCCCUGCCCUUUGUACACACCGCCCGUCGCUACUACCGAUGAAUGAUUAAGUGAGAGCGUCGGACCGGCGCCCUCGGCAGCCCUCGGACCGAUUCAAAGCGUUUUCCGGUUCAAGGAUCCUUUUUAAUAAGGGUUCUCGGG